UCACACCAUGGGAGUUGUGUUUGCCUUAAGUCAGGAUGCUAAAUUGGCUACUGCCCACGGCACACACAGCGACUGGGGUGAAGUCGUAACAAGGUAACCGUAGGUGAACCUGCGGUUGGAUCACCUCCUUUCUAGA
rnacentral:rRNA from 1 species